GACGUAGGGUGCGAGCGUUGUCCGGAUUUAUUGGGCGUAAAGAGCUCGUAGGCGGCUCGUCGCGUCAGCUGUGAAAACCCGCGGCUUAACCGUGGGCUUGCAGCUGAUACGGGCGGGCUAGAGUGCGGAAGGGGCAACUGGAAUUCUCGGUGUAGCGGUGAAAUGCGUAGAUAUCGAGAGGAACACCUGCGGCGAAGGCGGGUUGCUGGGCCGACACUGACGCUGAUGCGCGAAAGCCAGGGGAGCGAACGGG
rnacentral:rRNA from 1 species